rnacentral:rRNA from 1 species
GAUGAACGCUGGCGGCGUGCCUAAUACAUGCAAGUCGAGCGAACAGACGAGGAGCUUGCUCCUCUGACGUUAGCGGCGGACGGGUGAGUAACACGUGGAUAACCUACCUAUAAGACUGGGAUAACUUCGGGAAACCGGAGCUAAUACCGGAUAAUAUAUUGAACCGCAUGGUUCAAUAGUGAAAGACGGUUUUGCUGUCACUUAUAGAUGGAUCCGCGCCGCAUUAGCUAGUUGGUAAGGUAACGGCUUACCAAGGCAACGAUGCGUAGCCGACCUGAGAGGGGGGGCGCCAGCAGUGGAGCGGGGACGGGGCCCAGCCCCCUGGGGGAGGGACCAGAGGGAUACUUUCCGAAUGGGGCAAAAGCCGGACGGAGCACGCCGGGGUGAGAGAAAAAGUUUUUGGGAUCUUAAAACUUUUUUAUGGGGAAAAAAAAAAUUUAAAAGAAAAAUUGCACGUCUUGACGUUACCUAAUAAAAAAGCCCCGGCUAACUACGUG